rnacentral:rRNA from 1 species
GCCUACGGGAGGCUGCAGUGGGGAAUAUUGGGCAAUGGGCGCAAGCCUGACCCAGCAACGCCGCGUGAGGGAAGAAGGCCUUCGGGUUGUAAACCUCUGUCCUUGGGGACGAAAAAAAUGACGGUACCCAAGGAGGAAGCUCCGGCUAACUACGUGCCAGCAGCCGCGGUAAUACGUAGGGAGCGAGCGUUGUCCGGAAUUACUGGGCGUAAAGGGUGCGUAGGUGGCCAAGCAAGUCAGAUGUGAAAUCCCCGGGCUUAACUCGGGUGCUGCAUUUGAAACUGCAUGGCUUGAGUGCAGGAGAGGAAAGCGGAAUUCCUAGUGUAGCGGUGAAAUGCGUAGAUAUUAGGAGGAACACCAGUGGCGAAGGCGGCUUUCUGGACUGUAACUGACACUGAGGCACGAAAGCGUGGGGAGCAAACAGGAUUAGAUACCCUUGUAGUC